ensembl:lncRNA
CUUGAUAACAGUAGAAUAUAACAGUAGAAUUACCUUAUAACAGUAGAAUGACUUUAUAAUGACUUUAUAACAGUAGAAUAUAACAGUUUAAUGACGUUAUAACAUGCCUUUAUAACAGUAGAAUGGCUUUAUAAAAGUAUAAUGAAAUUAUACCAGUAAAAUGACCUUAUAAAAUGACUUUAUAACAGUAGAAUUACCUUAUAACCUGACUUUAUAACAGUAGAAUGACUUAAUAAUGACUUUAUAACAGUAGAAUGACUAUAACAUGACUUUAUUACAGUAGAAUGACUUUAUAACAUGACUUUAUAACAGUAGAAUGACCUUAUAACAAGACUUUAUAUCAGUAGAAUGACUUUAUAACAGUAGAAUAUAACAGUAUAACGACUUUAUAACAGUAGAAUGACUUUAUAACAUUACUUUAUUUUCACUAGCUCUGAGCAGCACCAAGCACAUGCUCUACAUGUGAUAAACAUACAAUCAUGCUCGCCUCACGGUAGCACAUCAAGCAGAACGCCCUCCCAUAAACCCUGAGUCUGCUAGAACAAAUACAAAUUCUAGCAGACUAGUAUUGAGACUCAAUGCUAAGGCUGCAGGUGUUUUGGCUAGGGUCAGUCGAUUACUAUGGCUUUCAGAUCAGUGUUAAUGCUAACAGAGAAGUGCAAUGGGAAGAUCUGUUAUAUGGCUAGCAGGUCAGUGCUGGGGCUAACAGGUCAGUGCUGGGGCUAACAGGUCAGUGCUGGGGCUAGCAGGUCAGUGCUGGGGCUAACAGGUCAGUGCUGAGGCUAGCAGGUCAGUGCUGGGGCUAGCAGGUCAGUGCUGGGGCUAGCAGGUCAGUGCUGAGGCUAGCAGGUCAGUGCUGGGGCUAGCAGGUCAGUGCUGAGGCUAGCAGGUCAGUGCUGGGGCUAGCAGGUCAGUGCUGAGGCUAGCAGGUCAGUGUUGGGGCUAGCAGGUCAGUGCUGAGGCUAGCAG